UAACACGUAAAGAACCUGCCUCAUAGACUGGGACAACUAUUGGAAACGAUAGCUAAUACCGGAUAACAGCAUUAACUGCAUGGUUGAUGUUUAAAAGUUGGUUUUGCUAACACUAUGAGAUGGCUUUGCGGUGCAUUAGCUAGUUGGUGGGGUAAAGGCCUACCAAGGCGACGAUGCAUAGCCGACCUGAGGGGGUGAUCGGCCACACUGGGACUGAGACACGGCCCAG
rnacentral:rRNA from 1 species